rnacentral:rRNA from 1 species
UCCCUAGUACGGCGAGUGAAGCGGGAUGAGCUCAAGCUUAAAAUCUCCGUACAAGUUUUGUACGGCGAAUUGUAGUCUAUAGAGGCGUGGUCAGCGUGAGAUCUUGGGGCAAGUUCCUUGGAAAAGGACAGCAUGGAGGGUGAUACUCCCGUUCAUCUCCGAGUGGCUCGUGCGUACGAUCCGUUUUCUUUGAGUCGCGUUGUUUGAGAAUGCAGCGCAAAGUAGGUGGUAAAUUCCAUCUAAAGCUAAAUAUUGGUGCGAGACCGAUAGCAUACAAGUACCGUGAGGGAAAGAUGAAAAGAACUUUGAAAAGAGAGUUAAAGAGUACCUGAAACUGCUGAAAGGGAACCGAAUCGUUUCCAGUGUCUAUAAUCUGUGGCAUAUUUCAUUGGCGAGUGUGUGCGUGCGUGUGCUGUGGCAGCGGCCUUUUGGCUGCGCUUGGCGCGUGUGGUGUGUGUGCUUGCUGGUGCCCUGUGCUGCGGUGGGACGUCAAUGUCAGUUCGUAUGCUGCGGGAAAUGGCUGCCGAGGAGGUAGGGCUUACGCUUGCGUUUGUCUGUUAUAUCUUGGUGGACGAGUCGUCGCGGUUGGGACUGAGGUGCCUACAACGUGCUUUUGAGUGGGUUUGUGUCUCUGUGUGUGCCGUGUGCGGAUAGCUUGCUAUGCGUGUGUGGUUAUGUGUGGAUUGAUAUGGGCUUUAACUUGUUGCCGUUCGGGACGUUGACGAAAUGGAGCGAUCCGACCCGUCUUGAAACACGGACCAAGGAGUCUAACAUGUGUGCAAGUGUUAGGGUGUGGAAACCCCAGCGCGAAAUGAAAGUAAAGGGCAGCGCAAGCUGUCUGAGGUAGGAAACGUUGCGGGCUUCGGUCUGCGGCGUGGCACUAUCGACCGAUCAUGAACCUUCGUGGUGAAAGAUUUGAGUUUGAGCACAUAUGUUGGUACCCGAAAGAUGGUGAACUAUGCCUGAGUAGGGUGAAGCCAGGGGAAACUCUGGUGGAAGCUCGUAGCGAUUCUGACGUGCAAAUCGAUCGUCAAACUUGGGUAUAGGGCGAAAGACUA